CCUUUGCUCUUGGAGUCUGUUCCCAGGGGUGGAUGUGUGCAGACCCAAACUGCCGUUAGGAGAUGAAAGGGAAUCUUUCAACAUUUCCUCCCAUUGUCUGAGCUUUCUCCCUGCUUUGUCACCAUAACAUUCUUUUUUGGAAUUCCAUUAAUGUGGAGUUUUCCCCUCCCCCAGAAACAAUUAAAAGAGAAGAGUUGGCAGAGCCAGCCAGGAAAGACCUGUGGCUCACUCCUAAUCUCCCACAUGGAAGUUUUGAGUCGACCCAGGAAAGGAAACAGGAAGAGUCUAAACGAGAAGCUUCAAGCACUGACAACUUCCUUUAACUCAUGA
rnacentral:lncRNA from 1 species